CCCACACACACACACACAUACGAGGGAGGACCAGCCAACAACAGCAGAUCAAGGCUGGACCUCACCUUUGCCCUGGCAGAAGUCCAGCUGCAGGAUGGUCUGGAGCAGCGAGUCGGUGCUGAGGGUGAGAUGGAACUCAGGGCCCACCUUGGCUUCCAGGUUACCUUUGACCCACUGGUCCUGAGACGACAUCACACGCUUGAUGAGGGCGUCAGAGAUCUAGAGUGGAGAUGUUGCACGCUGCACCCCCUCCCCCAGCAGGGCGACCCUCGCCAUCACGCUCCGCCCCUCUGAAGCUCGUUGCCAUGGAGACCAUCUGGCCCGACAAGCUGUCGUCCUGCCGAGACCGUGCUAACGAGGGGAUGACGGAUGAGGAAUAUCCCGAAUCAUCAUCACCAUCAUCACUGCUGCCUCGCCUGGGGUUUGUUUGAUUUGCUGACCGGCGCCACCUGCUCGUCUUUACUCAAUCUUGCAUUUAUGCUUCCUUCCUCCCUUGCUGACAGCGUGCAGGAGGAGGUG